UACGUAGGGUGCAAGCGUUGUCCGGAAUUAUUGGGCGUAAAGAGCUCGUAGGCGGUCUGUCGCGUCUGGUGUGAAAAUCCAGGGCUUAACCCUGGACCUGCAUCGGGUACGGGCAGACUAGAGUGCGGUAGGGGAGAUCGGAAUUCCUGGUGUAGCGGUGAAAUGCGCAGAUAUCAGGAGGAACACCGGUGGCGAAGGCGGAUCUCUGGGCCGUAACUGACGCUGAGGAGCGAAAGCGUGGGUAGCGAACAGG
rnacentral:rRNA from 1 species